GGACUACAGGGGUAUCUAAUCCUGUUUGCUCCCCACGCUUUCGCGCCUCAGCGUCAGUUACAGCCCAGGUGGCCGCCUUCGCCACUGGUGUUCCUGCGAAUAUCUACGAAUUUCACCUCUACACUCGCAAUUCCACCACCCUCUGCUGAACUCUAGCCAAGCCGUAUCAAAUGCAAUUCCUAGGUUAAGCCCAGGGAUUUCACAUCUGACGUGCUUGGCCGCCUACGCGCCCUUUACGCCCAGUCAUUCCGAACAACGCUAGCACCCUUCGUAUUACCGCGGCUGCUGGCAC
rnacentral:rRNA from 1 species